rnacentral:rRNA from 1 species
UACGUAGGGAGCAAGCGUUGUCCGGAAUCAUUGGGCGUAAAGCGCGCGUAGGUGGCCUCAUAAGUCCGCUGUGAAAGUCAAAGGCUCAACCUUUGAAAGCCGGUGGAUACUGUGAGGCUAGAGUACGGAAGAGGCGAGUGGAAUUCCUGGUGUAGCGGUGGAAUGCGCAGAUAUCAGGAGGAACACCAAUGGCGAAGGCAGCUCGCUGGGACGUGACUGACGCUGAGACGCGAAAGCGUGGGGAGCAAACAGG